AUGUUUACUGAACAAGCCAGCUGGCUCCACCAACCCUCGCUCUAUUAACCUUGAUGGCACUACAAAAUGAAAUUCACAGUACAAGCCAACUCACGUGACCAGCAAGUUCAGAAGAUGGCUGGACGGGUCUGACAUGACGCGGAGUUACACAGUCACCUCAUUUCAGCGCUGCUUUCAAAAGUUCUCCGACAGGAGGCUUUCCAAGGGUGGGGACUAAAAAUACAAGAUGAAAAGAAAUAAUCUCUGACCUUGAGAUCACCAGUUACUUGGGAAAACAGACACAGACACUAUUACCAUACCACGUGGUGGUCUGAGUGCUGCGACAAAGGAAAGCGUAGAGGAGGAGGUGGUUCACCCAGGCUUAGGGGAGACUUGGUGAAGACAGUGAUGCCUGAGCUGGAUCUGAAAUCAUGGUUGAUCUUAAGCUAUGCCAGAUGAAGAAUGGAUCUUCUUUGGGUGAAUAGAAUCACUCUUUGCCCCUUGCCUAGCUUCCCCACUAGUGAUGGCUUGUGAAUGGAAAGGGUGAGGUAAGCAUUGAAAAAGACCACAUUCGAGGAAUGUAGCAGUCAUGGCGUAAGGUGAUCAAGAGAAGACAUGGCUGCAAAAUGUAUUGCACAAUAAAACCUUAGACAGUAAAUUUAAGAUAACCGGAAACCAUUUUCCUGCACCCUCUGGGUGAGACUUGCAUUUGUGGUCAUCAUAAACGAAUUAUGGUGCCAGCCUUUAGGGAGCCGUUGGAAGCCAAUAUUCGCCAGGGCCAUGAUGGAAGAU